AAACUUUCAACAACGGAUCUCUUGGUUCUGGCAUCGAUGAAGAACGCAGCGAAAUGCGAUAAGUAAUGUGAAUUGCAGAAUUCAGUGAAUCAUCGAAUCUUUGAACGCACAUUGCGCCCACCAGUAUUCUGGUGGGCAUGCCUGUCCGAGCGUCAUU
rnacentral:rRNA from 1 species